AUGCCCACAGAUUACUUUUUAGUUAUGCAAAGUUUAAACUUCAGUCAUGCUUUAUUGGUCGUUUUCCCCAAUAAAUAUCUACCAACUGCAGGUCCUUGGGGUUGGGUGCGGCAACUCGCGGCUCGAAGACAAUCUUUUGUGGUGGGGCGUCGCUGCCGGCGGCGGCACCUGCAUAGACCGUCUCGCUGGGAACGAAGAGAUGCUCCCCUGAUUUGGAGCUGUAGAAAGGAGGUGGUUGUAGACACAAAGUGGGGACACACAACUCCCAGACAUAAUAUUCUUUAUCUUGGCUCGUUGUUUGGGGAUGGACGCAUCAAUCUGAUCGCGCUCUCCUCCAUGCCAAACGGAUCCUUGGUUCGGAGGUGCGCGGCGCCGACGAUGACAACCUUUCUAUCGACGCAAGGGCAGCAGGACCUCAUGACGCUGUUGAUGCCACCACCAUGCACAGGGUUGAUGCAAGGUGGGACAAUGAGCUUUUUGAUUCAGAUAAUUUGUUUACCUGAUGCCUUCACUCUAGAGCUUCUGCAGGAGGGCGUCACCUGCGGCAUCACUUGCAUCGACCUCUCACCGAUCACCGUCCCGAGGAUGCACGACAGACUGGCGGAGCAGGGCACCACCUAUAGAAGGAUGAAUGGUGUCAAGCUCCGGGCAACAAGUAGGAUUAUCUCAGUAGUACAGUCAGCACCACUAUCUGAGAUUGCACAUUUACGACCAUGGUGGCACACAGAAAAGGAAGCUUGGUUGGCAAUUCCGAAAUGGGCACUGAACUUUAAAAAACAGUAUGAACUCAACCCCUUCUGUAAAUCAAAUAUUUCAUUUGCGGGGACGACGUGGGGCUCAUGUCGAGCACUUCAUCUGCAAUGGGUGUGGCCUUCUCCGUCUGCCAAACAUGCUACAAGUACGAGCACCAUGAGGGAACUGCCUGGAGUGCAAGACCCGCCACAAGCUCCUCAAGGGUCAGUCAGCCUCCACCCACGGCCGAAGGCACUUGCAGAUGUGAAGAAUAUCCAUGUCCGAUUACAUCGCCAGGAAGCAAAAACCAUGAGAGCCCACACUAAUCAUCAAGGUAUCAGCCCAACUGAUCUUUUGUUUGAUUGGGGUUGCGGUUUUGUUGGGCAUAUAAGUUUGUGCUGGGUAUAUGAUCAUAUUUUUGCUGGCACUGAUGUAUGGCCUUCCUUAUGGAUUAGUCUGCACCAAUUGCUGCAUAAGUUCUCCUUGAUACCAAUUUACAUACUUGUGCUACUAGGCCUUUGGUCAGUUUGCAACUGGUAUUUUAGACAUGGCGAGCUGGCAGCGGCAUGGCGCGCUGGUGCGCGUGACCGCGGGUUUGGCCAGGGUGCGAGCCGAUCUGGCAUGUGCGCUGGCGAAGUAAGGCGUAGAGGUGCUCCGGCCGGCUGGGUGCGUUGGUCCGUGGCGGAGAUUGAUGACGUUGUUCUCCUGGUUUCGUGGAUCUGCAGCGGGGUAGCCGGUGGUUGCGGCGCCAGAGAAUGCUGGGGCAGCGGCCUCGGGCUGAUGGCUGCUAUGGUAGGGGCUGCUGCACUGGCUCAGGAUGGUGGAUUUGGAGCGAUGCACUCAGAUCUGACCCUGGCAACCGCGUUGUUUCUAUGUCGCAUGAGUUGCUGCAGCUGGUCGUCGCAUUUGCAAGCAAGCUCACUGAUAGGAGAUCAGGGACUCGGGCGAAAGCUCCGUGACCUUCUUAGAGGCAUAGUCGUAGACAUCUUCCUAUCCUUUCAUGUGCUUGGGUUCUCCGGGUGUAUGUCGGGGCUGCGGCUCCGGGAUCUUCUAUUAAGUGUCGAGGCUGCGGCCUCGGGCAGUACUGCGACGACAGCUCCAAGAGGUAGGGAUGCUUGUCGGCAUGGCUUGGGUGAGCACCUUGAAGUGCGGAAGCAGCAAGGUUGUCAGCUCCGUCAAUGCGCCCCAGUCGGGACUGUUGGACGACAUGUUGGGGCAGCGGCCCAGGAUGUGGUGCAGCGUUCGUGGUCUAUGUGCGGUUGGCCUGAGCAGCGUGAGCUGCGGGUAGCUGUAUCGUUCGGCGUAGUGCCGGCCAGGUUGUCGCUCAUCCAGGUUGCCGACCGGGAAGAGUUGAACACUUUCAGAUCAGGAGUAGUAGAAAUUCUUAAGGGCAUUGGGAUAUUGAACUGCAGUUGUGCAGAUAGCUUCGGCAGUUUCAAGGUCACAUGGAUGCUGACAGCUCUCAGGUGUAUGGCCUAUUUGUUGCUGGGUAUUGUUGCCUUUCUUCCUGGUAUGCCAAUGUAUAUUGCUUCAGUUUUCAUAUUGAGAUCGAUACAAAAUCUAGGCUCCGAAGUGCAGAUUGAGAAGAGAGUUUCUGCUGCUAUUUGUUAA
rnacentral:rRNA from 1 species